UGACCUUCGGUGCUGACAUCUUUCACGUCCAAGGAGAGUGGAAUCUCACAGUGAGUGACCUGUUGACAGAUACCUGGACUCUUUCUACUACUACGAAUAAUGCUGCUAUGAAGACUCUUGCAUAAGAUUUUUUUGGCAAAAAUAUUUUCAAUUUUCUUGGGCGUAUGCCUAGGAGUGAAAUUGCUGGGUUGUACGGUGAUUUCAUGCUUCACUUUUCUGAGAAACUGCCAGACUUUUCCAAAUCAACUGUACCAUUUUACUUCCCCUCCCACUAGCAAUAUAUCAAGAUUUCAGUUUUCCCAAAUUCACCACCAUGUCACUGUCCAAUACUGGGGUUUUACCCAUCCCGGUGGUUGUGAAGUGGUGUCUCACGGUAGUUUUGAUUUCCAUUUCUAAGAUGAUGAAUUCUGCUAAACAUCUCAUGUGCUUUUUAAGGCAUUUAUAUGUCUUUCUUUGGAGAAUGUCUAUUCAAAUCCCUUGUCCAUUUUUAAAUUGGAUUUUUACUAAGAGCUUUUAAAUAUAUUCAUGAUAUCAGGUCCUUAUCAUGAUAAUGUAUCCUGUUCUGUGGGUUGCCUUUUCUUUAAGAGUAUCCUCUGAAAUGAACAUUUUUAAUUUUGAUCCCGUCUUUUUCCCUUCAGUUGCUUGUUACAGCUUUAGACGUCUCAGCCAAGGAAACAUUGCCUAAUCCAACGUAGCAGUUUCACCAGGAUUCUUCCCUAAAGGUGUCAUGGGCUGAACUGUCCCCCCUCUCAAGAUUCCCAUGUUAAAGUCACAACCCCGGAAACUCAAAAUGUCACUGUACCUAAGUGUACAGGGCCUUUAACUUGGAAAUUUAGGUCACGUAAGAUCUUAAGAGUAGGCCCUGAUCCAGUAUGACUGGUAUUCUUUUGCGAGAAUUUAGACACAGUCCUCAGUGCUGCAUGCACAUAAGAGAAACCUCUGAGGACACAGAGAGGACGCCGUCUACACAGCACGGGGUGAGGCCCCAGAGAAUCCAACACUGGCCGCACCUUGAUCCCAGGCUUCCAGUCUCCACAAAAAAGCAAAUAAGAUGCUGUUGUUUAAGACGCACGGUCUGUGGUGUCCGUUAUGGUACCCAGCAGACUGACAGAAUGGGUCUCACAGUCGACUCCUUACGCUGGAUCCAUUUUGAGCUUUGCGUGUAGGGUGAGGAAGGGUCCAGUCCAUCCUUUUCCAUGUGGAUACCCUAGUUGUCCCAGGACCAUUGAGUUCUGAAAGUAAAAAAGUAAAGCAACGCUUACCGUCCUUUCUCCAUCAACAGAUUAGAAGAUACACUGAAAAAUCGUGGACAAUUUUCUCAGUUUAAGCCAGUAGUUUUCAAAUUUUUUGGUCUCAGGAACCCUUUGCACUUUAUUCAAGAUCACAAAAAAGCUUUCUCAUCAGGCCGGGAGUGGUGGCUGCUCAUGCCUGUAAUCCCAGCACUUUGGGAGGCAGAGGCAGGUGGAUCACUUGAGGUCAGGAGUUCAAGACUGGGCUGGCCAACAUGGCGAAACCCCAUCUCUACUAAAAUACAAAAAUUAGCCUGGCAUGGUGGCGAACACCUGUAGUACCAGCUACUAGGGAGGCUGAGGCACAAGAAUCACUUGAACUCAGGAGGCAGAGGUUGAAGUGAGCUAAGGUCACACCACUACACUCCAGCCUGGGUGGCAGAGUAAGAAUCUGUCUCAAAAAAAAGAAAAGAAAAAA
ensembl:lncRNA